rnacentral:misc_RNA from 1 species
UCCGCGGUCACACUGCUCUGUAGUAAAUAAAGUGCGCGAUUUUUACGCCCGCGUUUAAAAACGUAUUCCUAUGCGCCAUUGUAUGUUAUUGAUAUAGAAAUUGGUGUAUUAUCUGGCCACAGCGUGUGGCAAGUGAUUUAUUUUUAUUUUUUUUAAGUGCGUGAAGAGUUUGCUUCUCGUAAGGUGAUUGCCGCUUGGAAUGGAAGUCCAAAGAAUGGCAGCUUUUUAGUGCUUGUUAAUCAACAACAGCGAAUAGUUGUAAUGCUUCUGGCGUGCCAGCAUUCCAAGAUGGCGACAGCCAAGACAACUCUGGGGGCAAACGGUAAAUGGCAAAGCUACGUGCCAGAAGCAAGCUGUAAAAUGUGCAUACAAAAAAUAGUUUACCCUCCAAAAGAGAAGUG